rnacentral:misc_RNA from 1 species
CGGCGAAGCAGGAAAAGGAGAACCAUCCAGGCUCCUAUUCUCACCCUCAAAAGGGAUUAGGACUUUGCUCAGUUCAAAUGAAAACUCUAAUUUUCAGAAAGUAAAUUACCUAUCUUAAACAGGCUUCCACAGUUCCCUAUCUCACCUUACCCAACCAAAUAAGACCUAAAUAUAUAAGCUAGAUAAGAGAAGUGGAAGAAAUAGCCUUUAACUUCCCACUUAAAGUUUCCCCAACUCGCCUAGACCUAAAUAUAUAACACAUCAACUUCAAUCCAUCAAAUAACGAUUCAUGCAAUAUUUAUUACUAAAAAAAACAUCCUGGCAUCAAACCAAAGAUUACCCUAAAAAUGUUAUGAGAAUCAUAAACUACAUACCAUAGCC